GAUGAAGAACGCAGUGAAAUGCGAUACGUAGUGUGAAUUGCAGAAUUCCGUGAACCAUCAAAUCUUUGAACGCAUAUUGCGCUCGAGGCUUCGGCCGAGAGCAUGUCUGCCUCAGCGUCGGUAUUACCCCUCGCUUCUCAACCCCUGGUUGAUGCCUGCCUGCCUUUGCAGUUGGCUAGAAGCGGAUCUGGCUUUCCCAAUUGCCUUUGGUAGUUGGGUCAGCUGAAGCACAGAGGCUUGAGCAAGGACCCUUAUUGGGCUUCAACUGGAUAGGUAGAACUGGUCUUAGGACCAACUACACGAAGUUGUUGCUUGUGGUCUUUUGUCUGGAGGCCAGGAGGAAACCUUUAUACCUUCGACCUGAGCUCAGGCAAGAUUACCCGCUGAACUUAAGCAUAUCAAUAAGCGGAGGA
rnacentral:misc_RNA from 1 species